GACGAACGCUUGCGGCGUGCUUAACACAUGCAAGUCGAACGGAAAGGCCCUGCUUUUGUGGGGUGCUCGAGUGGCGAACGGGUGAGUAACACGUGAGUAACCUGCCCUGACUUUGGGAUAACUUCAGGAAACUGGGGCUAAUACCGGAUAGGAGCUCCUGCUGCAUGGUGGGGGUUGGAAAGUUUCGGCGGUUGGGGAUGGACUCGCGGCUUAUCAGCUUGUUGGUGGGGUAGUGGCUUACCAAGGCUUUGACGGGUAGCCGGCCUGAGAGGGUGACCGGCCACAUUGGGACUGAGAUACGGCCCAGACUCCUACGGGAGGCAGCAGUGGGGAAUAUUGCACAAUGGGCGGAAGCCUGAUGCAGCAACGCCGCGUGCGGGAUGACGGCCCUUCGGGUUGUAAACCGCUUUCGCCUGUGACGAAGCGUGAGUGACGGUAAUGGGUAAAGAAGCACCGGGCUAACUACGUGCCAGCAGCCGCGGUGAUACGUAGGGGCCGAGCGUUGUCCCGAUUUAUUGGGCGUAAAGGGCUCGUAGGUGGUGAUCGCGUCGGAAGUGUAAUCUGGGGCUUAACCCUGAGCGUGCUUUCGAUACGGGUUGACUUGAGGAAGGUAGGGGAGAAUGGAAUUCCCUGGUGGAGCGGUGGAAUGCGCAGAUAUCAGGAAGAACACCAGUGGCGAAGGCGGUUCUCUGGGCCUUUCCUGACGCUGAGGAGCGAAAGCGUGGGGAGCGAACAGGCUUAGAUACCCUGGUAGUCCACGCUGUAAACGGUGGGUACUAGGUGUGGGGUCCAUUCCACGGGUUCCGUGCCGUAGCUAACGCUUUAAGUACCCCGCCUGGGGAGUACGGCCGCAAGGCUAAAACUCAAAGGAAUUGACGGGGCCCCGCACAAGCGGCGGAGCAUGCGGAUUAAUUCGAUGCAACGCGUAGAACCUUACCUGGGUUUGACAUGGAUCGGGAGUGCUCAGAGAUGGGUGUGCCUCUUUUGGGGUCGGUUCACAGGUGGUGCAUGCCUGUCGUCGGCUCGUGUCGUGAGAUGUUGGGUUAAGUCCCGCAACGAGCGCAACCCUUGUUCACUGUUGCCAGCACGUUAUGGUGGGGACUCAGUGGAGACCGCCGGGGUCAACUCGGAGGAAGGUGGGGAUGACGUCAAGUCCUCAUGCCCCUUAUGUCCAGGGCUUCACGCAUGCUACAAUGGCUGGUACAGAGAGUGGCGAGCCUGUGAGGGUGAGCGAAUCUCGGAAAGCCGGUCUCAGUUCGGAUUGGGGUCUGCAACUCGACCUCAUGAAGUCGGAGUCGCUAGUAAUCGCAGAUCAGCAACGCUGCGGUGAAUACGUUCCCGGG
rnacentral:rRNA from 1 species